CGGGAAUGUAGAUACAGGUGGUGCAUGGCUGUCGUCAGCUCGUGUCGUGAGAUGUUGGGUUAAGUCCCGCAACGAGCGCAACCCUUAUUUUUAGUUGCUAAUUUAUUUUAGGUUCUCUAGAAAGACUGCCGGUGACAAACCGGAGGAAGGUGAGGAUGACGUCAAGUCAGCAUGCCCCUUAUGCCUUGGGCUACACACGUGCUACAAUGGUUAAGACAAAGAGUUGCGAGCUCGUGAGAGUCAGCUAAUCUCAUAAACUUAGCCUAAGUUCGGAUUGUAGGCUGCAACUCGCCUGCAUGAAGUCGGAAUCGCUAGUAAUCGCUGGUCAGCCAUACAGCGGUGAAUCCGUUCCCGGGCCUGUACACACCGCCC
rnacentral:rRNA from 1 species